AGUCGCAUGGUGUAGUGGCUAUCACGUAUGUCUCACAUUUAACCGUGUGUGCUCACAUAAGGUCCCGAGUUCGAUCCUCGGUGUGACUA